GGGGUCUUAGCUCAGCUGGGAGAGCGUCUGCCUUACAAGCAGAGGGUCAUAGGUUCGAGCCCUAUAGGCCCCA
rnacentral:tRNA from 1 species